rnacentral:misc_RNA from 1 species
UGACAUUUCGCAGAAUCUCUUCUUAUCAAAAAUGUUGAAUUUACCCUAUCGGCUGUUAUUAUUUACUUUUUAUGAAUAAAACAUGAUAGUUUUUGUUGCACACGAACAUUUAGAGACCAUGUGUGACGCGUGUGUGGACGUCCAUUGAUAAGAAAUCGAACAAAAUCGUGAACAGUAAAGUGUAUCAUAUUUAGCCAAAUUUCUCCUUAGUUUUUGUGUAAUAACUGUGUUUAUUUAGUCAAAACUGUAGGAAAUCUCCGUUAGAAUCUUCAGUGUGUAGUUCCUUUCAAGACAAACGUAUAAAUUAGGGUAAAUCGUGUUAUCACAAUCAAGUCCAGUGCAAAAUAGUUUAGACGUAUUUUAUGUCCUUUUGGUAAGAAAUCUGUGCGAAAAUAAAGUUUCUGACUAGUAAAACUGUACAAAGUUCUUCACAAAGUAUCUCUAUAGGCGGUAAUGUAAAUAUUUAUGUCUGAAACCCAUAAAAUAUAACUGAGUAAUUUGUGGUACUAUAAAAAACCCACAGGCUUGGUGGCCUAAAAUCCGUGCCAAAGAAAAAUAAUAACUCUAGUGGCAGUACAGAACGGAAGCAUGUACUGUUUGAGCGUUUGAAAAAUGUGCAUUAUGGAGGGAAAGUGUAUUGUCGAAAUUAGAUUUUAAAGUGUUUUUAGAGUGAUUUUUGGAUUAAAAUGGUUACGAUGAACUCUUCGGAGAAGGCGGCACAGAAGGCCUGUCAACAGGGGCCAUCCAGAGAAAACUCGAAAUGCGUGAAGGAAGAGAAAGACAAAGAGAAACAGAAGAAGGAGGCUCCGCCCCCGACCGUGCAGGCGCUUAUGUCCACCAUCCCCUCACCGGAGGAGGCACCCAACUAUCUCAUUUAUCAGAAGAUGGAGGCGAUAAUAGAGAAGAUGCAGGAUGAAAACACGGGGGUACCCGUGCGUACUGUCAAAAGCUUCAUGACCAAGAUACCCUCGGUAUUCACAGGCUCGGACCUAGUGGCCUGGCUCCAACGCCACCUCAACUUGGAAGAGACAUGGGAAGCCCUCCACAUCGCUCACCUGUUGGCCGCACACGGAUACUUGUUCCCAAUCGACGACCACUGCCUCACUGUGCGGAAUGACAACACUUAUUAUAGGUUCCAAACACCGUACUUCUGGCCGUCGAACCAAUGGGAGCCGGAGAAUACCGACUAUGCGGUCUACCUGUGCAAGCGCACAAUGCAGAACAAAGCUCGUCUUGAACUCGCCGACUACGAAGCCGAGUCGCUGGCGCGGCUUCAGAAGAUGUUCUCACGCAAGUGGGAGUUCAUAUUUAUGCAGGCCGAGGCGCAGAGCAAGGUUGACAAGAAACGAGAUAAGCUGGAGAGGAAGGUGCUGGAUAGUCAAGAACGCGCCUUCUGGGACGUGCACAGACCUAUGCCGGGGUGCGUGAACACAACAGAGCUGGACCCCCGCAAGUUGUCUCGCAUCAACGCGCUCAAGGACAAGCGGCUGAGGCAGUGCCAGGAGCUCAUACUGCAGCACAAUUUGAAGAAUAAUCCAAUAGUUACGAUCACAAACCCGCAGGAGAGUGAAGAGGAAAUACAGAAACAGAACUCCGAUAACGCCAUCAAGGAAAAUGGCGCGCCCCCCCCUGCGGAGCCCCCGGCGCGGGCGCAGCAGCUGGAGGCGGCGCGGCGCCAGCUGGCCAUGCUGCGGGCGCGGCUGGAGCGGCGGAACGUGCGGGUCAGCAAGGUGCACGAGAUGUUCAUAGCUUACUGCGAGCAGUACGCGGAAUACGACGCGUUCCUGACCCCGCCGGAGUGGCCCAAUCCGUGGAUCAGCGAUACCACUGAGCUGUGGGACCAGGAGAAGCAAAGUAAAGACCCGCUGCCGCUGCGGCGCGUGCGCCGCUGGUCGUUCGGGCUGCGCGAGCUGCUGCAGGACGCGGCCGGCCGGCAGCACUUCGCCAAGUUCCUCAACAAGGAGUUCAGCGGGGAGAACCUCUCGUUCUACCUGGCGGUUCAGGAGUUCAAAGCUCUGCCAGUGCAACGGGUCGCCGCUCGAGCCAAGGAGAUAUGGAAGGAGUUCCUCGCUUCGGACGCCGUGUCUCCCGUCAACAUUGACGCCGCCAGCAGGGAGCUGACUCGUGCGAAGGUGGAUUCCGGCACCGCGGACCGAUACUGCUUCGAUCAAGCGCAGGCGCAUGUGUACCAUCUGAUGAAGUCGGAUAGCUACUCGCGGUACCUGAGGUCUGAGAUGUACAAGGACUACCUCAACGGAUCCAAGAAAAAGACAUCAGUGAAAGGCAUCCGGUCCAUAGUCUCAUUCACGGCCCGCAAGGAGAUGUCUACUAACUAACAAUCAUUGUCAUGUCGGUUAGAUUCUAUGUGUAGUGGGAAGAUUGCCCAACAGUGGGCCAAACACUGGGCACGACGGCUGCUACAGCUUUGGGAAUGAAGAAAAGAAAAAAAAAUAACCGGUAAAAAUACCGGUAAAAUACCGAUUGUUGUAAGGUCAAAACCGGUUUGGUACUUUCAGUGUUAAUUUUAGGUAAGUCGUUAAAAUUUUGAGAAAUGUUAUGUUGCUAAUGUUGAAACGAGGCAAAAAGAAAUCGGUAAAAACGGUUUGCGGAUAUAAAUAACGGUAUUAAAAAAAUAUAUCAGUUAUUGUCGCCUGCGUGGUUUCAAAGUUUAUAAAUAUUAGUACUCGUGUCCGUACAUACAUAAACAGCCUAUAUACGUCCCACUGCUGGGCACAGGCCUCCCCUCAAUCAACCGGAGGAGAUAUGGAGCAUACUCCACCACGCUGCUCCACUGCGGAGGUGUUUUUACUUUUUUCCCGGACAACCAGGUGAUACAAGCCUGCAAAGUCCUUGCCAAACUAAGUGAUUUCGAAUGACGGGAACCGAACCCGGACCCCCAUAUACUGAGCGUAGGCUGUAACCACUAGACCACGGAGGCUGUUAGAAGUAUACAAUAAGUAAAUGUUAGGUUAACACAAAGGCAAUCUGCGGGGUUAAAAUGGCCACAUCGAAGCAAUUCAUCUAAGAAAGCAUACUGCAAUUUGACAUUUGCGCAUGUAAAAGUAAUUGCGCAAUGCAAACAAAUGUUUAAUAGCAAUAUUGCUUUUUUAGAGGAACUGGGCACCCUCAGGCAUGUUGUCUUAAACGUUGUACCGGGUGAGAGCCUUCAGCGCUCCCCAUUUGUCCGGCCAAGUAGUUAAUGCCAUCUGCGUCAAAUGUACAAUAAGUCACGUCAAAAAAAAGCCUAUGCGAAAGUUGCUUAACUUCAACAAUCGCAGACCGAGCGCGUUUACCGCUGCGCCACCAAGCUCCUCAAAGUAAUAUUAGCAACACUAAUUCUCAUUCUAAACCAAAGUUAUUUCUUUAGAUCCAAAAAAAAAGACUGUUCGAUGAGAUAAACUGCCCAAAAAUAUACAGGGUGUUAGUGACAUCGUAACGAAUACUGAGGGGGAUGAUUGAGACCAUGAUUCUGAGUUGACAUCAAGUGGAAUUUUCCGUCCUAUAGUACGGAAAAUAAUUUAAAAAAACUAAAAUAAAAAUCAUGAAUUUUGCGACGGAAAAUUCCACUUGAUAUCAGCUCAGAAUCAUGAUCUGAAUCAUCCCCCUCAGUAUUCGUUACGACGUCACUAACACCCUGUAUUAUAAAUUUAUUUGUGUUAGUGACACCGUACCGAAUACUCAGGGGGAUGAUUCUGCUCAUGAUUCUGAGUUGAUAUCAAGUGGAAUUUUCCGUCGCAAUUCCAUACAGGAACUGUAGAUAAUUUAAAUAAACACUAAUAUUUUAUAGAAUAGAAUAACUUUAUCCCCAAAACAGUGAAGGUUACAAAAGCAUUUACAUAAAUUAAGAUUAACAAUUUAUUGAGGACGUCCACCACUGCCACAUGACUGUUACGACCAAUUUCCAUCCUCAUCAACCCUGACACCAGGGAUGAUGAGGUUGGUAAUCCACCUCACAACCCACACGAUAGAGGAAAAGAAGAUUCAUGGUUUCGUAAACAGUUGGUAGGUUUUAUGUUGUAAGUAUCACAUGAUCUGCUAAAUAAAAGCAUGCGAAAAUUUAUUAGUAUGAUGAAUGGAGUGUGUAUGUAUUUUCAUAAGUUUGCCACACAAAAAAAAUCAAAUUCAAAAAUAUCUUUAUUCGAAAGAAAGAAAGAAAGAAACGUUUAUUAUAAAGGGACACCACAGUAACAAAUACAAAACAAAUAACAAAUAUAUAAUUUAAAACACGGAGUAACACACAACUUACAAUCAAACAAAACACAUAAUAAAAACAAAAUACACGAGAAAUACAAAUAAUUGAGUGUAUGGACUGGUCAACGAUGGUGGUGGUGUCCUUUAUAAAAGGGCCUCACUCAGCAUAAGCCGCGGCGCGAGCCACGACGCUGGUAUUCUGUGGACCCUGCUAAGUGAGCCACGGAAGCCGUGUCUCCCACAAAUACAACUUGAAUGAAUAUAUAAUAAUAUUUACUUAUACUAUGAAAACAAAGUAGUUUACAAAAACAUAUAUUAAAAGCGUGUGUGUGUGCAGUGUAUCUACAAAUACAUGAAAGAAAUACCAUAAUACUUACAAAACAAUGCAUAUAAAACGAUAAAAUAAACAAAUAAAUAAAUUCAGUAGGUAACAUAGUUACACUUUGAAUCGUCAAUUUUUACAUAACGAACGUCUCAUCCGCCUAAAACUACUGCAGCUUCUCACAACCUGUAUAGCCGGGGAAAUGCAGCUGCAAGAAAAACCUCGGCACAGGGCCCUAGACGUUCUUUAAAAAAAAUAAAAAUAAACAUAAAAUAUUGGUAUACAAUUGACAACAUUUCAUUUUUACUAAGGUGCCUUAAAUCGAAAACCAUUUCGAGAUAUUUCUAUGAUUUACACAAAACACAUUUUUUCAGAUUUUUUAAUUCAGUAAUAAUAGAAAUAUAUUGAAAAAUCCACGAGGUCAGAAGAGGAAGGCAUAAUAAGUUCAGACCUUUACAUAAAAAUUAUAAAAAAAGUAAAUGUCAUACAUAACAUGACACUUUGUUUGCGACUUGUUUUAAAUACGCAUGCAAAGGUACAUUACAUUAUACUGCCUUCAUUCUAUCAAUGGCAGAAUCAAAUUUUCAAAAAAUAUUUUUUGUAACUUCUAGUGGAAAAAUCUUGAAAAGAAAAAAUACGUGUCUUCUAUUUAAACAAUUACUUUCGAAAUAGCACAAAAAAACCACGGCUUAAAAAUUUGAAAUGUUGUCAAUUGAGUAAUUUAGCUGCUUAAUAUCAGUUCUCAGACAGUUAAUCCCAUGCAUUCAUAUCUUCUAAAUAAUCACUAACUUUAUAAUAACCUUUUUGUAAAGUUUUUGUUUAACUACUGUCUUAAAACAGUUGAAAUCCACAUACCACUUGAUCAAAAAUUCGACUCAGAAUCACGAGCUGUAUCGUCCCCCUCAGUAUUCGUUACGGUGUCACUAACACCUGUUAUAUGUUAUUAUUACAUUUUCCUUUAAAUUUUGAGUUUUAUUAAUUCUUGUAAUAAUGUAAAUAGUAAAAAAAUAAUAAAAAAAACUUAGUUGUUUUAGACAUAGACAAUACUUUGACGUUAUUGUGUAAAAUAAUAAUAAUCAUAAUAAAUUAUUAUUUAAUAUAUAUAUAUAUUUGAUAUUGUAUGUACAGUCAUAAGCAAUAUAAUGUACCCACUUUAGGACUCUGUCGCACUAACACAUUUGACAUUUAGUGAGACUUACAGUUCAAUUUGUCAAAAAAGUUAAUGUGACAUGGUACCAAAGUAUAUACAUGGUAAUGCUCGUGAUCGCAUCUACCUAGGUACGUAAUGUAGUUUUUGGCUUAUAUCCUUUUUUUAUGUUUUGAUCCUGACCUAUUUGACAUAGAUAAACUCACGCCUAUUUCCUACCGGGGUAAGCAGACUAUGGAGUUAAUUUGUUCAAUACGAUCUACUCUGAACCGGCGUGCGUGUAUGAAGCGAUUGAUGAAUGUGGAGGAAGCAAGAGAAGUGUGUCAGGAUCGAAGCAAA